rnacentral:rRNA from 1 species
AUGGUAGGAUAGAGGCCUACCAUGGUGGUAACGGGUAACGGGGUGUUAGGGCACGACACCGGAGAGGGAGCCUGAGAAACGGCUACCACAUCCAAGGAAGGCAGCAGGCGCGCAGAUUACCCAAUCCCGACACGGGGAGGUAGUGACAAUAAAUAACAAUACAGGGUUCUUUGAAUCUUGUAAUUGGAAUGAGUACAAUUUAAAUCUCUUAACGAGGAACAAUUGGAGGGCAAGUCUGGUGCCAGCAGCCGCGGUAAUUCCAGCUCCAAUAGCGUAUAUNAAAGUUGUUGCAGUUAAAAAGCUCGUAGUUGAAUUUCGGGAUCAAUACGUCGGUCGUGCUUUCGGGUACGUACUGGCGUCAUUGGUUUCUCCUUUCUGACGAACCAUGAUGUCAUUAAUUUGGUGUUAUGGGGAGUUAGGACUGUUACUUUGAAAAAAUUAGAGUGUUUAAAGCAGGCAUUAGCUUGAAUACAUUAGCAUGGAAUAAUGAAAUAGGACGUUCGAUCCUAUUUUGUUGGUUUCUAGGAUCAACGUAAUGAUUAAUAGGGAUAGUUGGGGGCAUUAGUAUUCAAUUGUCAGAGGUGAAAUUCUUGGAUUUAUUGAAGACUAACUACUGCGAAAGCAUUUGCCAAGGAUGUUUUCAUUAAUCAAGAACGAAAGUUAGGGGAUCGAAGACGAUCAGAUACCGUCGUAGUCUUAACCAUAAACUAUGCCGACUAGGGAUCGGAUGAUGUUAAUUUUUUAAUGACUCAUUCGGCGCCUUACGGGAAACCAAAGUGUUUGGG